AUAGAUGCUGUGGAGUGCUGUGAUUUGGGCACGCUAGUCUGCCACGCUAAGUGUUCGCUCUGGUUGUUAACUUCGGCCCUCUCCCAAUACUCAAAAAAAAAAAAAAACUCGUGGAGCACAGUGUAGAACAACGAUGUCAGCAACCACAUGGUUUUGCCUGAUUCGGCUCCUGAUUGUCGUCCUCAGUUUACUGUUCCUUAUCAGCAGCAGCAGCGUUACUGCAGAUAGCCCCAAGCCACCUAGUGGUGAUCCGAACAACCCCAGUGCACCAUUGUGCAGUCCGUUCUCACCUUCUUGUCAUUAGCACCUGAGAGAAGCCAGGGAGCUCAUCCUGAUUGUACAAAAUGCAUAGAAUUUGAGAAGAUUACCUGGUUUCCUAUAUAUGUGCUCAUCCUAGUUCUGCAUAUUUGAAAGAGACUGCAUUUUCCAUGUCAGUAAACUUGAAUAAAGCAAGUAGGCUAUGUAUCUUGUAAUAGGAAUUAGUAUAUCAAGGCCUUUUAGCGAAA